rnacentral:rRNA from 1 species
UGAGGAAUAUUUGUUCAAUGGCCGAAGGGGCUGAACCAGCCAAGUCGCGUGAGGGAAGACGGCCCUACGGGUUGUAAACCUCUUUUGCCGGGGAGCAAAGGCGGUCACUGGUGACCGGAUGAGAGUACCCGGAGAAAAAGCAUCGGCUAACUCCGUGCC